rnacentral:lncRNA from 1 species
GAAUUGCUAAUCAAUCCUCCUACAACACUUGCACUGGGUUAAAUGUCAAUCGUAUUGAUCAUUUAACCCUAGAACGAUUCUUAAUCAUUGAUCAACCAUCCGAUCGGAUCAUGAACUCUAAUGUGUGUGACCUCAUAGGUCUGAACCUAAGCCGGUAGCAUAGAAAUAAAUUUCUGUACCAAUCGAAGUGACCAUCUAGCAAUGGUACCCGACGAUCGGAUAGGUCGGAUGUGUAGAACAACAUCCUUAGAACCCAUGUGGAUAUAGUUUUCAUAUAAUUCAUCCCCUUGACCAAAAUGAUCAUAGGACACCCCAGAGUUCAACUGUCAACUCUGAUCAGGUUGUCCACAUUGUAUUUCAAAAUAUCAAAUCCAUCUGAUGGAUUACCCUGGCCAAGGUUUUGCUAAAUUGAAAUACAGUGACUCAUUCUUCUCCAACUCUUGGAAUGGUCAAUCCCAUCU